rnacentral:rRNA from 1 species
AUGAGCAUACCUUUAUUCUUGGGUGUGAUGGAGGGCAUGGAGGCACAUGAUCCGUGCUUCUUUGAAAGGUUGUUGCAGAAAAUUUUGGUCUCUCCUUUGCAAAAAUGCAUGGCUGCUCUGAGAAUGCUUGUAUUAGGUAUCGCCGUGGAUGCCAUUGGUGAGAUGGUCUGGAUGGGAGAAAGCACAUGGCUUGAUGUCACUGUCAAAUUUGCCCAAGCCGUGGUAAAGGUGUUUAGAGUGGAGUAUCUAAGAGAACCAACUAGGCACAGAGAGGUUGAUGUCAAUUGGAGCUGCGAGAGGUCACUCGAUUGCAUGCAUAGGCAAUGA